rnacentral:lncRNA from 1 species
GGGACUAUAGUUCAUACAAUACACCAACAUAUAUUUGGGAUAUAAACCAUAAGGUCCGAAACCAGUUAUUUUGAAGUGCAUUUCUUUUACACAAUUAAUGAAAAUUAAAACAUCCCACCUCCGUUUUCUCAUAUUAUUCUCUAAUAUUUUUACAGUGUGUUGUACUACUUUUGGGACAAAUUAUAUCAAAAUUAUAUAAAACUUCAUCAGCUCUAAAUCAAAAUAUGGACAAUUUUAUGUUAAGGGGGUCUUGAAAUCUUUUGACAACUUCCAAGGUACUUAUUUUAAACCCUUUUCAGCUGGAACAAAUCACUACUUUACUUUAAAAUUUGUGACCUAAUUGUUCUUACAGUGUCAUUUCAUCCCUACUUGCUAUGUGAGGUAUAAAACAUAGAGAAAUAAGCCAAUAUAUUCAUGGACAACGAAAAUCAAAGGACGAUAACUGUGGUCUCAGACCAUCAUCAAGGUAAAAUAUAUAGAAAAGACAAAUAUGACAGACAUUGCUCCCCCUUCCCUAAAACUUUGUCAAUAAUUUAAGCACAGUUAAUUAAUAAGUUUUUAAAUUUCUAUGAGGUUAACUUUCUAAACAAGAAGAAAUGGUACAUUUUCAUUAUUUUUCUAAAAUUCUUUAAUGCAUGGGAUAAAAAUAGAUUGUUAUGAGCUUCACAUUAGUUACAACGUGGGAAUAUCUGAAAAGACAUUGAACUCCUCAACUAUGAAAAUCUUAUCUCUUUGAAAUAUGAUUGAUGAGGAAUGAGCCUGAGAUUUUGACAAUAUAGUCGCAGAAUAAGCUGUGAAUGUAAAAAUUUAAAACCAAAGUACACUUCAAUUUUUCAAGGUGAACUUAUUAUAAAGCUGACUAUACAGUAUGGGUUUUCCUUAUGGUGACCUAUAGUUGUUAUUUGCUGUGUCAUUUGGCCCCCUCUUUUAGAAAUUUGUCUCAUUGGCAAUCAUACCACAUCUUCUUAUUUUUAUAAGUUUCAGAUUGGGGACUCCAUUUCUUUAGAAAAACUUCAUGUAUUAAGAAAUGCAAGAAAACUCUAUGUAAAACAUUCUAACCAAUGUGGGUGUAAAUUCAAUACAAUAUUUCAUAUAUAUACACUUAAUGAUUAUAACUCAUUCAGAGAAUUCAU